rnacentral:rRNA from 1 species
CCCUUAGAUGUUCUGGGCCGCACGCGCGCUACACUGACGAAUGCAACGAGCUUAUAACCUUGGCCGAAAGGUCUGGGUAAUCUCCAACUUUCGUCGUGAUGGGGAUAGAUUAUUGCAAUUAUUAAUCUUCAACGAGGAAUGCCUAGUAAGCGCAAGUCAUCAGCUUGCGUUGAUUACGUCCCUGCCCUUUGUACACACCGCCCGUCGCUCCUACCGAUUGAAUGGUCCGGUGAAGCGUUCGGACCGUGGCCUUUGGACGGUUCGCCGUCUGUUGGCUGCGGGAAGUUCGUUAAACCUUAUCAUUUAGAGGAAGGAGAAGUCGUAACA